rnacentral:rRNA from 1 species
GACGAACGCUGGCGGCGUGCUUAACACAUGCAAGUCGAACGGAAAGGCCCUGCUUGCAGGGUACUCGAGUGGCGAACGGGUGAGUAACACGUGGGUGAUCUGCCCUGCACUUCGGGAUAAGCCUGGGAAACUGGGUCUAAUACCGGAUAGGAGCCAUUUUUAGUGUGAUGGUUGGAAAGUUUUUUCGGUGUAGGGUGAGCUCGCGGCCUAUCAGCUUGUUGGUGGGGUAAUGGCCUACCAAGGCGGCGACGGGUAGCCGGCCUGAGAGGGUGGACGGCCACAUUGGGACUGAGAUACGGCCCAGACUCCUACGGGAGGCAGCAGUGGGGAAUAUUGCACAAUGGGCGCAAGCCUGAUGCAGCGACGCCGCGUGGGGGAUGACGGCCUUCGGGUUGUAAACUCCUUUCGCUAGGGACGAAGCUUUUUGUGACGGUACCUAGAUAAGAAGCUCCGGCUAACUACGUG